rnacentral:lncRNA from 1 species
GUGAUCAAUGGGUUAGAACCUGGAGAAAAAUAGUUUACUGCAAGAGUCAUUUCUGAGUCGUUUUGGCAUUAUGAGGAAACACCUGGUUUAGUUAGAAAAAUGAGUUUACAACAGAACGGAAAAUGUUGCACUCACUCAAUCAAUGAAUGAAUGCGCAUACCUCGUUACCCCUGACCAAACACCCACACACAGCCUCUGAUUGUUCAAUGGUUUAGCGACUAGUACAGCCAAAAAGUUCCUAAUAAAAAGUACAGUUGCUAGGAUGUGUACACCAAAUAAAAAAAUCUUCAAAACAAAAAUUGGGUUAAGUGACCUUGCGACGUACCUCCCUACCUAUAUCACAUUCUCAAAAACUUGACUGUACUUUGUCACAUGGCUUUAGCCAUCAUUCAUUUUACUGUUCAUUUUACUGUAGUCAGCUCACGUCUUUAGUUAAAUGUUGUCUACAGUGGGGUGACAAAAUGUAUCUUAUACCAACGUUUUGAAAGGACAUAUUCAUCGACAAUACUAUUAAACUAGCAAUACAAAUUCAGUCAUUCCCAUUAUUAAUUGACUAGCAUUGCUAGCUAAACCCAGAGACAUGGAGGCUAAACCUUUCCGUUACAACCUUUAUCGUGCCAAGUGACAGCAUAGCUUGCUGCUAGCUAACAUUGCCUGUCAAGUCCUAACCAAUGUGAAUUUCAGUUUUAGAAGACAGCUCACUAACAAAAACACUCUUCUCGGCUAAACAAUGGCAUUUUCACAUAUUUACAAACAGUACUGGUAUUUUAUCCACUUCCUGCUUAGUUUAGUAGCUAGACUUCUUACCCCGACUCACCUCCCGCUGCCUUGUGUGUGGACGUGCUAUGGAUGCGCGUGCGUAAAAUGUUUCAUAUUUCUCACGAUGGCUCGACCAGAGACGGAAAAGGAAGCGAGACAUCCCACUCCCUCAAUUUAUGUGGUUCAUGUACUGUCAAUGAACUAAGCAGACCAGACACAGUUGCGAAUGCAUUGGUACCUAUGGGAAAGCCAGCCUAUUAAGCAGACCGGAACUGACCAUUUCUUUCAAUGGAGACGUACAGUACCAUCAAAAUAUUCUACAAGAGGUCCAAACAGUUGGUGGUUAAGAAGGUCUACGGGCCCUGCACUCACCACUUCCGACAUGGUCUUAUCCAGCUGUUUUACACAGCAAACAGGACAAGACCAUUCGCCACAAGCACAAAGAGUCUCAGCUUCCCAAGCCCACCAUACCAAACACCAUUGCCAGUGUACUGAAGCCUGAUAGAGCACAGUGUGACUCAACAUAAGACCAUGUAGAACCAACAUAAAAUAAAUAUGGAUCUUUUCUAUCAAUCUUCUACAUUUGUCUGACGUUAUCGAUUCACAGAAUAUAUUUAUAUAACCUGCACAGGGGGUCUGUAGCAUCAAAUAGAUGUUAGACAUUUAGAUAAAUCCAAAUAUUUAUUUGUCAAAUUCAGUUCCGUGUCUCUUAGGUAUAGUAAAGUGCAGAGAACUGUUGAUCGGCAGAUGAUGAAAGAGGUGGUCAUGAUGAAAUUGCCAAUCACAAAGAAACAUACA